rnacentral:rRNA from 1 species
GGGGAAUAUUGCACAAUGGGCGAAAGCCUGAUGCAGCGAUGCCGCGUGAGGGAUGACGGCCUUCGGGUUGUAAACCUCUUUCAGCAGGGGAGAAGCGAAAGUGACGGUACCUGCAGAAGAAGCACCGGCUAACUACGUGCCAGCAGCCGCGGUAAUACGUAGGGUGCGAGCGUUGUCCGGAAUUAUUGGGCGUAAAGAGCUUGUAGGCGGUUUGUCGCGUCUGCAGUGAAAAUCCGAGGCUCAACCUCGGACUUGCUGUGGGUAUGGGCAGACUAGAGUAUGGGAGGGGAGACCGGAAUUCCUGGUGUAGCGGUGGAAUGCGCAGAUAUCAGGAGGAACACCGAUGGCGAAGGCAGGUCUCUGGGCCAUAACUGACGCUGAGAAGCGAAAGCAUGGGGAGCGAAC